CCCACCAAUUCACUAUCUCAACUAAUUAGAAUAUGGUGACAUGCCAAUCAGCUAAUCAACUCAAAACACCUGCAAAGGUUUCCUGAGCCUUCAAAAUGGUCUCUCAGUUUGGUUCACUAGGCUACACAAUCAUGGGGAAGACUGCUGAUCUGACAGUUGUCCAGAAGACAAUCAUUGACACCCUUCACAAGGAGGACAGUGACCUCCAUCUUGCUGUUGGUCUGGUAGGCCUUAAGUUUGGGAUGUGGCUGAUACAGUGGUUGUCCCCCAUAGCCUGUGGGCUGGGAGAGGAACUCCGGUAGUGUUUCUGUGCUGUACUGUCUCCUGCUGCUGUUGGACUGGCGGCGAGUGGAGUGCCCUGGAUGCGAGGUCUGCCGGUGGACAUGUCUUUGUCCAGAAUCCCAAGCUUUGAAGGUUGAGCUGGAAAGCUGAGGGUGGGUGAUGGUUUUUGGGAUGCGGGUCCUCUCCAGCUGGUUGGUUGGGAUUGAGAUCGAAAGGGGGGAAUGGAUGUCAUGGGAAGGGAGGACCUGGUGGAGAUGGGACUUGUCUUUCGGGUGCAUCUGCAUCGGUUGGAAAGUUGCAGGAGGGGAAUGAUGCUGAGAGAAAUCCAUUAGUGGAUAACUUUUGUAGUAGCCCCUGCUUGCAGUAUCAGCUGUAAGGGAGAAGAAGAAAUGGAAAAUGUUCAAGAGGGACAAACAUUUACAUUGUACAAUUAUAACUGAGCUGCAGCAGGCACAUUUAUAGUGAAGCUUCAGUCUUUAUGUGGCUACUAAGCAUGUAAAAGUAUAUGAGAUGAGAGGAAAGUUUAUAUUCCAGUGUGUUUUGUGAGAGAAAAUUUGCAUUCAUAUAAUACUUUUGGCAUUCUUAUUCUGCAAAGUAUCUCAACAGAACACAAAAUUUAAACAAGUGAACACAAAGUUUGUUAGGGAAUGCGAAAGUUUUGCAAACGAAUGCAGUUUCUUGGGAGAACGCAAACGUUUUGCGUGUGAUGCAAAGUUUCUCUGGGGAACAUGAAAGUUUUGUGAGUGAAUGCAGAGUUUGUUAGGGGAAUGCAAAAAUUCUGAGAAUGAAUGCAGUGUUUCUUGGGGGAAUGUGAAAUUUUUGCAUGUGUUCUGUUCAAAAGUUCUGCAAGCAAACGCAGUUUCUUAGGGGAACACAAACAUUUUGUGAGCACAUAAUUUUUCCAUCACCAUGUAUUAUGGGCUUCA
ensembl:lncRNA